rnacentral:rRNA from 1 species
UACGGAGGGUGCGAGCGUUAAUCGGAAUUACUGGGCGUAAAGCGCACGCAGGCGGUUUGUUAAGCUAGAUGUGAAAGCCCCGGGCUCAACCUGGGAUGGUCAUUUAGAACUGGCAGACUAGAGUCUUGGAGAGGGGAGUGGAAUUACAGGUGUAGCGGUGAAAUGCGUAGAUAUCUGGAGGAACAUCAGUGGCGAAGGCGACUCCCUGGCCAAAGACUGACGCUCAUGUGCGAAAGUGUGGGUAGCGAACAGG